CCCUACGGGGGGCAGCAGUGGGGGAUAUUGCACAAUGGGGGGAACCCUGAUGCAGCGACGCCGCGUGGGUGAAGGAGCGUUUCGGCGCGUAAAGCCCUAUCGGCAGGGAAGAAGAUGACGGUACCUGACCAAGAAGCCCCGGCUAACUACGUGCCAGCAGCCGCGGUAAUACGUAGGGGGCAAGCGUUAUCCGGAUUUACUGGGUGUAAAGGGGGCGCAGACGGCGAUGCAAGCCAGGAGUGAAAGCCCGGGGCCCAACCCCGGGACUGCUCUUGUAACUGCGUGGCUAGAGUGCAGGGGGGGCG
rnacentral:rRNA from 1 species